rnacentral:rRNA from 1 species
UACGAAGGGGGGCUAGCGUUGCUCGGAAUCACUGGGCGUAAAGCGCACGUAGGCGGCUUUCUAAGUCAGGGGUGAAAUCCUGGAGCUCAACUCCAGAACUGCCUUUGAUACUGAGGAUCUUGAGUUCGGGAGAGGUGAGUGGAACUGCGAGUGGUAGAGGUGAAAUUCGUAGAUAAUUCGCAAGAACACCAGUGGCGAAGGCGACUUCCUGGCCUGUUCUUGACGCUGAGGCG